GGGCUCACCUAUGGCUCAGUGGCAGGGCAUCUGCUUGGGAUGCAGGAGACCCCAGGUUCGAUCCCUCGUGUCUCCA
rnacentral:tRNA from 1 species